rnacentral:rRNA from 1 species
AGAUUAACUGUCUCUUUUAUAUUUAUUGAACUUAAAUUUUUAGUUAAAAUGCUUAAAUUUUUUUAUUGGACGAGAAGACCCUAUAGAUCUUUAUUUUUUUAAUUAUUGAUUUUUUUGGUUUUUAUUUUUUUAAUAUUUAUUUUAUUUUGUUGGGGUGACUUGAAGAUAUAUUUAACUCUUUAUUUUUUUUUACAUUUAUUUUUGUAUUAUUGACCUUUUAUUAUUGUUAAAAGAUUUAGAUACCUUAGGGAUAACAGCGUAAUUUUUUUUGAGAGUUCUUAUUGACAAUUAAGAUUGCGACCUCGAUGUUGGAUUAAGAUUAGUUUUAGGUGUAGUUGCUUAUUACUGUUAGGUCUGUUCGACCUUUAAAUUCUUACAUGAUCUGAGUUCAAACCGGAGA